AUUGAACGCUGGCGGCAUGCCUUACACAUGCAAGUCGAACGGCAGCAUGAUCUAGCUUGCUAGAUUGAUGGCGAGUGGCGAACGGGUGAGUAAUACAUCGGAACGUGCCCUGUAGUGGGGGAUAACUAGUCGAAAGAUUAGCUAAUACCGCAUGCGACCUGAGGGUGAAAGUGGGGGACCGCAAGGCCUCAUGCUAUAGGAGCGGCCGAUGUCUGAUUAGCUAGUUGGUGAGGUAAAGGCUCACCAAGGCGACGAUCAGUAGCUGGUCUGAGAGGACGAUCAGCCACACUGGGACUGAGACACGGCCCAGACUCCUACGGGAGGCAGCAGUGGGGAAUUUUGGACAAUGGGCGAAAGCCUGAUCCAGCAAUGCCGCGUGUGUGAAGAAGGCCUUCGGGUUGUAAAGCACUUUUGUCCGGAAAGAAAUGGCUCUGGUUAAUACCUGGGGUCGAUGACGGUACCGGAAGAAUAAGGACCGGCUAACUACGUG
rnacentral:rRNA from 1 species